rnacentral:misc_RNA from 1 species
CAGUGGGCAGGCAUGCACCAUGCACUUUAGAGCUGGUUUUGAAGGAAUACUCAGCAAGCACUUUGGAAGUGAGAUUAUAGAUGAAUUGUUCCAUCGACAUUCCAAGAAAACUGAAGAAUUCUCCUCCCGACUGCAGUCUAGCUCCGAUGAAGGAACUCAACUAUUUCUUGCUCUCAAGCGGAAAUGAUUCCUGCACUUCUAAGCUUACAUAUUUAUAAGCUCUUUUGAUUGCUGGCUUGCAACCUA